UACGUAGGGGGCGAGCGUUAUCCGGAAUUAUUGGGCGUAAAGAGUACGUAGGUGGCCACCUAAGCGCAAAGUGAAAGCCCGAGGCUUAACCUCGGCGAGCCUUGUGAACUGGGCGGCUUGAGUGCAGGAGGGGAAAGUGGAAUUCCUAGUGUAGCGGUGAAAUGCGUAGAUAUUAGGAGGGACACCAGUGGCGAAGGCGACUUUCUGGACUGUAACUGACACUGAGGUACGAAGGCGUGGGGAGCAAACA
rnacentral:rRNA from 1 species